rnacentral:rRNA from 1 species
UACGGAGGGGGCUAGCGUUGUUCGGAAUUACUGGGCGUAAAGCGCGCGUAGGCGGAUCGCUAAGUCAGGGGUGAAAUCCCAGGGCUCAACCCUGGAACUGCCUUUGAUACUGACGGUCUGGAGAUCGGGAGAGGUUGGUGGAAUUCCGAGUGUAGAGGUGAAAUUCGUAGAUAUUCGGAGGAACACCAGAAGCGAAGGCGACCAACUGGCCCGAUACUGACGCUGAGGCGCGAAAGCGUGGGGAGCAAACAGG